UUUUUAAAUCAAACCAAAUAUCUUUUAAAAACAACCCUCCAUAGUCAAAAGAAUUUCUUGUUCAUUUGCUUCUAAAUAGGGAAAAAAAAGAAGAAGCAUUUUAAGAAAAAUUGGUGAAGUUUUGGACUGCUAGAGUAAUAUACUUUUUUUUAGAUGGGUUUAGGAAGUUGUCUUAUAUUUUUCUUUUGAUUUUGGGAUUGACUUUUGAAUUUUUUUUUUUUAAUUGAUUUUACAUUUGUUGAGGGAAAGAGAGCAGAAAACAGGGGGAGGGAGAGAGAGAGAGA
rnacentral:misc_RNA from 1 species